AAUUAAAAAAUCAAAAUUUUCUCAUGUUUCAAUAUGAAAACGCAAAUGAUAUUGAAAAUGUUUGUUUACUUCGUUAAUAACGAUCAUUUCGAGCUGUGAUAAAAAGUUUUGAUGUUCUCAUUUUGUUUUAUUCCGAGUCCAUCUCAUUUAAAUCAUGUUUCACUCUUGUACUGGGUCUGUUGUAAUCCUAAAUGAAGAUCAAAGUGUUUUCCUUUUUAUGUGGUUUGUUGUUUAUUAGCAACUUCGAGACGAAAACUUCGCUUUUCGUAACUAACUUGUGAAAAUAAUUGAUUUUGUUCUAUAUUUUCUCAGCAAUUAAAGCGCCGAGUUCGUUUUUUCAAUUUUCUUCUUUGAAAAUGGCUUCUUGUCGGUGGAUAGCUGUUUCUGUCGAGCUUCAACUUUAAUCUUUACUUGACAUUCAUGUUCGUAUGUCAUUCAUAGACUUAUUGUGGGCAAUCAGAACUGUAAGAGCUUUGGAAUUAAAGAACGAAAUAGGAAAUUUAUAAACGAUGUUGGAUUAUUUUAACAAAUGGCUUCAUUUCUUUGGACAUCGUAAACUCUAAUUUAAUAAAUUUGUCAAUUUAGCCAAUCUGAGCCUACAUCUUUGGUUAUUACACCAAAUAUAAACUGGGAACAUGGAAGUUUCAACCACCAAGCUUGAAGUUACAGUUUGAUAAAACGUUCUUUGCAUAUCAA